GGCGUAAAGAGCUCGUAGGCGGUUUGUCGCGUCUGCCGUGAAAGUCCGGGGCUUAACUCCGGAUCUGCGGUGGGUACGGGCAGACUAGAGUGCAGUAGGGGAGACUGGAAUUCCUGGUGUAGCGGUGAAAUGCGCAGAUAUCAGGAGGAACACCGAUGGCGAAGGCAGGUCUCUGGGCUGUAACUGACGCUGAGGAGCGAAAGCAUGGGGAGCGAACAGGAUUAGAUACCCUGGUAGUCCAUGCCGUAAACGUUGGGCACUAGGUGUGGGGGACAUUCCACGUUUUCCGCGCCGUAGCUAACGCAUUAAGUGCCCCGCCUGGGGAGUACGGCCGCAAGGCUAAAACUCAAAGGAAUUGACGGGGGCCCGCACAAGCGGCGGAGCAUGCGGAUUAAUUCGAUGCAACGCGAAGAACCUUACCAAGGCUUGACAUGAACCGGAAUGAUGCAGAGAUGUGUCAGCCACUUGUGGCCGGUUUACAGGUGGUGCAUGGUUGUCGUCAGCUCGUGUCGUGAGAUGUUGGGUUAAGUCCCGCAACGAGCGCAACCCUCGUUCCAUGUUGCCAGCGGGUUAUGCCGGGGACUCAUGGGAGACUGCCGGGGUCAACUCGGAGGAAGGUGGGGACGACGUCAAAUCAUCAUGCCCCUUAUGUCUUGGGCUUCACGCAUGCUACAAUGGCCGGUACAAAGGGUUGCGAUACUGUGAGGUGGAGCUAAUCCCAAAAAGCCGGUCUCAGUUCGGAUUGAGGUCUGCAACUCGACCUCAUGAAGUUGGAGUCGCUAGUAAUCGCAGAUCAGCAACGCUGCGGUGAAUACGUUCCCGGGCCUUGUACACACCGCCCGUCAAGUCACGAAAGUUGGUAACACCCGAAGCCGGUGG
rnacentral:rRNA from 1 species